rnacentral:lncRNA from 1 species
UCCCUGCCCCAUAAGUGCCGUCCCUGCCCCAUAAGUGCUGUCCCUGCCCCAUAAGUGUCCCUGCCCCAUAAGUGCCGUCCCUGCCCCAUAAGUGCCGUCCCUGCCCCAUAAGUGCUGUCCCUGCCCCAUAAGGGUCUCUGCCCCAUAAGUGCCGUCCCUGCCCCACACAUCAGGGUUCUGACGGAGCUGGUGUCGAAGAUGCGGGACAUGAGGAUGGACAAGACGGAGCUGGGCUGCCUCAGGGCCAUCAUCCUCUUUAACCCAGGGUCCUUAUGGGGUUAUGGGGACAAGACGGAGCUGGGCUGCCUCAGGGCCAUCAUCCUCUUUAACCCAGGUUCGCCAAGCUGCUGCUCCGCCUUCCGGCCCUUCGCUCCAUCGGCCUCAAGUGCCUGGAACAUUUGUUCUUCUUCAAGCUCAUCGGGGACACCCCCAUCGACACCUUCCUCAUGGAGAUGCUCGAGGCCCCGCACCAGCUGGCCUGACCCCAUAGAAAACCCUAUAAACCCUAUAACCCUAUAA